rnacentral:rRNA from 1 species
UGGGGGAUAUUGCACAAUGGGCGAAAGCCUGAUGCAGCGACGCCGCGUGGGGGAUGAAGGCUUUCGGGUUGUAAACCUCUUUCGCUAUCGAACAAGGCCCGCUUAGGGUGGGUUGAGGGUAGGUGGAGAAGAAGCGCCGGCUAACUACGUGCCAGCAGCCGCGGUAAUACGUAGGGCGCGAGCGUUGUCCGGAAUUAUUGGGCGUAAAGGGCUUGUAGGCGGCUUGUUGCGCCUGCUGUGAAAACGCGGGGCUUAACUUCGCGCGUGCAGUGGGUACGGGCAGGCUUGAGUGUGGUAGGGGUGACUGGAAUUCCAGGUGUAGCGGUGGAAUGCGCAGAGAUCUGGAGGAACACCGAUGGCGAAGGCAGGUCACUGGGCCAUUACUGACGCUGAGGAGCGAAAGCAUGGGUAGAGAACAGG